GAUGAAGAACGUAGCGAAAUGCGAUAAGUAAUGUGAAUUGCAGAAUUCAGUGAAUCAUCGAAUCUUUGAACGCACAUUGCGCCCAUUAGUAUUCUAGUGGGCAUGCCUGUUCGAGCGUCAUUAAGUCCACUUAAGCCUAGCUUAGUGUUGGGAGACUGCUCCAGUGGUGCUACCCUGUAGCUACCCUGCAGCUCCUUAAAGACAGCGGCGGAGUCGUGUUAUCCUCUGAGCUUAGUAAAUCAUUCUAGCUUUCGAGAGUAUCACUUCACCUGCCGUUAAACCACCUAAUUUUUAUGGUUGACCUCGGAUCAGGUAGGAAUACCCGCUGAACUUAAGCAUAUCAUAAGCGGAGGA
rnacentral:misc_RNA from 1 species